rnacentral:rRNA from 1 species
AAUACAAGGGUAAUCUGCCCUUAAAUUAGGGAUAACCUUGCGAAAGCGAAGCUAAUACCUGAUAAGACUACGACCCCUUAGGUGGUUGUAGGAAAAGAUGGCCUCUGUUUCAAGCUAUCGUUUAAGGAUGAGCCCUUGCACUAUUAGCUUGUUGGUGGGGUAACGGCCUACCAAGGCUACGAUGGUUAGCUGGUCUGAGAGGAUGACCAGCCACACUGGAACUGAGACACGGUCCAG